CCCCUGGGGGUCGUGGACCCCUGGUUUAAGAUGUUUCUUUACUGUUUUUCUGCUCCUUUUCCUGCUGUUGAGAAUUUUGAUUUCCCUUGUUUUCGUGGUCUUGUAUUCUCUUUCUGGAAGCUUUUACUAUUCAUGAUCUUUUAUCUCUGCAUUUUAAACCUUCACAAUGACAUGCUUUAUUCCUCCUGCUUUGCACUGCUUCAGAAGUUGGCAAACAUCUUGAGGGAAGCCUGGCUCUGUUGACACUCCUGGUCUCCAGUUUUGACAUCCUAGCCCCAGAUGAUGCACCUAAAGUUGAAAAGCUGACUUCCACCUCCUGGGCAACGUGGCUCAGGUUUGUGCGCAGGUCAAGACAAAACUGAUGUCAACACCAGGAAUGAAGGAGAAAUCUGUGGCUUAAUGAAGGUGGAGACCCAGCGUGAAGGAGGCUGUGUCUGUAAGGCAGGGAAAAAAGCCUUCACCAGGAACCAGUGCUGGCACCCUGAUGUCAGACUUCAAGCCUCCAAAGCUGUGAGGGUACUGGUAGCCGCAUAAAACAAGUUGGGGCAUAUUCCAACAAAAUAGAACAUUUUGUGAAAGAGUGUAUAUGAAAAAGUUACUUCUUCCUUGAAUGUGUAAUAGAAUUCACCAGUGGAACCACCAGGGAUUGACAAUUUCUUUAUGGAACCUUGAGACAACCCGAAUUAAGUCCACUCUGGAGCCUGCCCUGUGUGCUCUUUUUCUCUGACUUCAGCAACUGCUAGAUCAACAUGCACAUCCUAUUUUUAUUACGCACACUUCAGCCCCCAGCUCACUGCCUGGCCCUUUGGCUUAUGGCAAUAAUCAAGCAGACCUCCAAGUUAUGACAUCACUGCUUGACCAAGCCACUGAAUCACAUCAAUUCUUCACCGAAACUAGAGAAACUUACUGAACAAUUUCAACUUACUCAAAGACUAGCUAAACAAAUUAUCCUGCAAUGCCCAGAUUGCCAGCUCACAGGCACAUCCCUUCCUUCAACAGGUGAACCUAAACAAUUAUGGCAAACAGAUGUUACACACAUCCCUGAAUUUAGAAAACUAAGAUAUGUAUAUGUAUCAAUUGAUACCAACAUUCAUCUAAUUAGUGCACACGCCCUUCCUGGAGAGUCCACUCGAUAUGUCAUUAAACAUCUUCUAAUUUUUGUGGGCCAUCCCAUAAAUGCAAAAGUUAAAACUGGUAAUGGUCCAGCUUAUGCCAGCUCACAAUUUCAACAAUUCUGUCAUACAUGAAACAUCUAACAUUCCAUUGGUAUGCCAUAUAACCCCCAAGGACAAGGCAUAGUAAAACGUGUCUACUCCACCCUUAAAAAAAUGCUCAAAAAAGGAGGAGUAUGGGUAAAGACCCUGCAACACUAUUGGGACAAGCCUUAUUUACCCUUAAUUUUCUAAAUUUAGAUGACAAAUUUCAAUCACCUAUAGAAAAGCACUUUGUUAAAACUUCUCAAGACAUAAAACCUGCAGUUUUAUGGAAAGAUGUAAACAGUAAUGUAUGGUAUGGUCCAAAUGAAUUAACACGGGGAAGAGGGUAUGCUUGUGUCCACACCCCCUCAGGUCCUCUUUGGAUUCUAGCCCAAUGCAUCAACCCAUACCAUGGCAUGGCUAGGAACUGACCCUGCAGGACCCACAGCCCCGGACGAUGUGGCUUCCACGGUCGACAUAAGCUCUGGAUGUUACCUGGGGAUGCUGAAGGAAUCCUGCUCCAGACACAGACACUGUUCACUCCAGAUAAUUUACUCCUUGCUAUGGUUUCUGUUGUACAUUGCAACUCACCUAGGAUAUUGAUCCUUUCUGUGUUUUCACUUUGUCUGCAACCUGUACCUGCUACACUCUAUUGGGCUCAUAUUUUUCUUUUACCCUGUCACCUGGGCAGACACCCCCUGCUCAGCCUUUAAUAAUGUGACUCCUUGGCUAGGAGGGAUAGAUUUGCCCCCAGUGGGGUCCCUCAAUCAUGGCACACAUUAGACUAAGGUGCCAGAUAACACUACCUGUCACUCCACUAUCCUCUCGCUGUGUAAGUUAUAAAGGUUCGAAUCCUUAUUGUGUAUCUGCCCAAACACAAUUAAGGCUGUAUUAUGGCAAAAAAAAAAAAAAAAAAAAAAAAAAAGCCUUAAAAGUCUUAGUUGCAGGUAGCCUCAAACCAGGUAAUGCAAUCAGUGCUGCUUUUCCAAACAUUGCUUCCUGUGCUAAAGAACAAAGCUGGGAAAGUAAUGGAUUGCACUUUAGCUGGGAGGUCUGUCAUGGGGAACAAGCCCAUAGCCUCCAGUUAGGCAAUUAUAACAUCUUAGACUGGAGCCCCUGUGGCCGUUUGCAGGGCCAACUUACUGAUGUCCUCAUCCAUAAUGUCAUCAAUCCCAGUUUCAUAGCCUCAUCAUAUUCCCCUAUGAUUUGGGCUGAUGAGGGGAUGAGAUACCCCAGACCCCAAGUAAAGUCCAUGCCAGCCCAAGACACUUCAUGGUACCUGGGGCAUCUCAGCAUCUCAGCAUGGGACAUAUCAUGAUUCCAGUCACAACUAUACGAUAACGUUUAUUCAUAAUCACACUGUUCAGUCCCUAAUUUGCACUCCCCAUCCAUAUGUUUUCCUUAUGGGAACUGUUAUUUCCAUUACACCUCAAAACUGUGUUGCUGACCCAGGUGCAGGGAGAGGCUUGGUUUCCCUCAUGACAAUAUGUCUAAUUAUUGCUAGUGUCAUGGUAUUGAGACAAUCUGAGGCAUUAUUACCAGUCAAUUUGACAUGCAAUUGGCGAGGUUUCUCUGCCUUUGCCUUCUUAGAACAUGCCCUAACCCAGGUCAGACCCAAAAGAUUCAUAGAUGCACUUAUAGCCUUUAUAAUCUUAGCCAUAGUCAUCCCAGCAAGUGCUAGUGUGGCUAUACCAUCUAUUACUGAAUCAGUACAAACAGCUGCUAUUGUAGAUAAUUUAGCCCGAAAUGUGUCUAACGAACUUCUCUUACAGCAGGGUAUAGAUCAAAAGAUACUUACAUGUCUGCAAGCCCUCGAGGCUGGCUUGGAAUAUGUGGGGGAGUCACAAGAUGCCCUGGCAUUCUGAUAGCAAUUAAACUACGACUGGGAGCAUAAACAUAUCUGUGUCACUUCUCUUCCAUGGAAUCAAUCAAUACAUAAUUGGGAUGAGGUGAAACAACACCUCUGGGGAACCUUUCAUGACAAGUCAACAGCAGAUGUAAAGCAACUUAAAACUAAAAUUUUAGAAUCCCUUCCCACUACAGAUCUAUACACCCAACAA